AUAUAUAUACCUAUAUAUAUACAUAUGUGUAUAUAUAUACACACACACAUAUGUAUAUAUAUAGGUAUAUAUAUG
rnacentral:pre_miRNA from 10 species